rnacentral:rRNA from 1 species
AUGGAGAGAAACUUUGAGUUCAAUCUAGGUGUUCCGAUGAUGAAUUACGAUCAGGGUGCUUACGGAGAAGUGAAUUUUACAUGGCCAGCUUCUAGUGAUAGCGAUACUCAAGAUGAGAAGGAUGAUCUUGAGGAAUUUUGGAAAGAAAGGGACCACUCAUGGGCCACACUAGCACUUGAGAAAAAUCAGGACUCGCAUUCAGAAGCAGUUCAUGAAAACACUGCUGGUUUAGGUAAAAGGGAAGAAGAUCCAUGUUUGCAUGACUGCAAGCAGGAUGAGGAGCUUGGACUAGUGUGCAGAUUAUGCAACGUCGUAUGUGUUGAGGCAAAGAAUAUAUUUCCACAAAUGGCCAAUGGUAACGAAUAUAACAAGGAGAGACCUGGAAGCCGCAACUUGGACCAUGGUGAUCUUGUACUUGAUCCUUCUCUUCUUGCAAUCUUGGGACCAGAGUUUUCAGAAUUGAGGGGCUCUGGGAACUUGUGGAGUUUAAUACCCGACCUUGAGCCGAGAUUACUUCCUCACCAGAGGAAAGCGUUUGAAUUUAUUUGGAAAAACUUGGCGGGGUCAUUGAAACUCGAGGAAAUGGAUAAUCCAUCAGCCAGUAAAGGUGGCUGUGUGGUUGCGCAUACUCCUGGAUCAGGGAAAACACUGCUGCUGAUCUCAUUUCUUGUCAGCUAUUUGAAAGUUCACCCGAGAAGCCGGCCCUUUGUCCUCACCCCAAAGUCUGCUAUCCAUACAUGGAGGAGAGAAUUUGAGAAAUGGGGCGUUUCACUUCCUCUGCAUGUCCUUCACAAGACUGACAAAAGAGGCAAGCCAUCGGGGGAUAUUGAUCCUAGGUUGCAGGCAAUUUUAAGCAAUUUUCACCAACCGACCAGGAAAAAUAUUUGCCUUUUGGAUCGUGUGGACAAGUUAUGCAAGUGGCAUGAGCGUCCAAGUGUUCUUUUGAUGACGUACUCAAGCAUUCAUUGCGCAAGUCCUGAUCAACAACCCUGGGCUGUUGAUCCUCGACGAGGGACACAACCCGAGGAGCACCAAAUCCAAGUUGAGGAGGGUGCUGAUGAAGGUGAAGACUGA